CAAAGUAGCUUAUAUAGUGUUACACUUGGACAAAGGGUUGUCACCAGUUCUGAAUCUGGCUGUGAUCCCAAAGCAGCGUGUAUGUGAAGGUUGCUCACUUAGUGGAGACAUGUCAUCUGGCAACCUCUACUGCUUGUCCUGUGAGAGUACUGUCAUUCACUUGGCUGUGAUGACUCCUAGAGAUAUGGGUGAUAUCAUUCCAAGGGAGUGAUCCUGCAUCAUUUUUUUUGAACUGGUCAAAGAGGAUGUUCUAUUGGGUAGAGAGAGUGGCCUGUCCUUACAGAGCAUGGACCCAACUGGCAAGAAUAUAGGAGAGAAAAAUGAUUCAAAGACAGUAAGGCUAUCCUUAUACACUGAAUCAAGCAGCAUCUUUUGGACUACCAGAGAUUUUAAUAAGACUGGAAUGAUGAGCCAGGCCCUUGGAAUGAGAUGGAAGUAUUCUACAACCUAGGGGAAAGUAUGGUCAUUCAACACAAUAGAAGAAUUCCAAGCAUGCAUAAAGAAAAGACCAGACCUAAACAGAAAAUUUGAUGUCCAAGCACAGAACUCAAGAGAAUCAUCAAAAGGAGAUCCUGCUUUCUAGGGCACUUGGACCAGCAGUGCUAUGGUCUCCAAAGAUACUCUCUCUCCAACAAGUAGGAAGCAAACAGAAGAUCCCACGAGAUUUUUUAUAAAAUAAUCUUCUUAACCUCCUCCGAAUCUGAAUAACUCAAAUGAAAAUAGGUGCUUGCCUCUUUAAACUGUUCAUACACCAAAGAAACUCAAAUUACCGUCUGAAAGUUAUGAUACUUAGACACGAGGGUAUAGUAGAGUCGGCUCAAACUAAUGCUGAAGGGCUGAUUGUUAAAGUUUUAGUGUGACCAUUUGUACCAUAAAAAUGGACAAAUGCUAUAAAUCAGGGGUUGAUUUAUUGUUAUUGCUCAGACUUGAAUGGAGAAGAUGUUAAUAAUGAAGAUUAAAUGCAAAAUCAUGUCCUGAAUGCAUUUCCUCCAUCCUUGGUCUUCUGCUAAACUUUUACCAGUUUAUCAGAGCCUAGAAUUUAUCCCUAAGGUAUCAAACACUAUAGGUCCUUAAUAAAUUUUGUUGUUUGAAUAAAAAAAAAUAUUCUGUACUCUUAAGUAAUUUACAUUUUUUAAAAAAUCCUUUACCUUCUGUCUUAGAAUUGAUACUGUGCAUUGGCUCUAAGGCAGAAGAACAGUAAGGACUAGUCAAUUAAGGUCGAGUGAUUUGCCCAGGAUCGCCCAUCUAAGAAGUAUCUGAGGUUAGAUUCAAACCCAGGACCUCCCUGUCUGCAGACCUGACUUUCUAUCCACUGAGCCAUCUACCUGCCCUAAGAGGUUUACAUUCUAAUAGAUUCAGAAUAAAUAAAAUCAUGAGUAGAGUUUGUUUUUUUUAGCUUUUUUUCCCUAAAAGAUCCUGGUAUUAGUUAUCCUAUUACCCUUAAUAUUACAAAGAAGGCUGAAUCAGCCCAUUCUUUGAUACUGUGCUAGCUUGGUAGGCAAUGUCAGGCAGCUAGAGGGUGCCAUAAUGCCCCAGCCUUAGAUCAGGUAGAUUUAUAAGCUCAAGACCCACCUCAGACACUUUGUAGCUGUGUGACUCAGGACAACUCUCUUUUGCUCUCUGCCUCAGUUCUCUCAUCUGUAAAAUGAUGAUAUUAAUAGCACCUACCUCCUGGGUUUGGUGUGAGGAACAGUGAGACAAUAUUUGUAAAACACUUAGCAAAUCUUAAGGCACUCUUCACAAAUGCUGCCUUUUGUUCCUUAAAGGAAUGUUCAUGAGUGCAGUGUAUGUGGGGAAGAGGGGAGGAACAGGUGUAUUUUCCCUGACUCUUCCCUAUUUUCAUUUUCUCAAUUCAACAGCAAACAUUCUUAGAGAGUGGUAACUGGCAAUCUUAGCCUUGACGUAGAUGCCAGUAAGAAAUAAUAGUUCUUUAAAAAAAAUGGGACUUGAAAAUGAAUUACAUUUCAAUUUUUUUAAAUCCAAAAGGGUUUGGACAAAUACCCAAACACUUCCUGUAUUAAGUCUAUGACUCAAAAAAUCCUGAGGUAAAUCCUUAAGUAAAUACACCUGGCAUUCUUCAAUGUGACUAUUGCCAGCAGCCCUGUUGGGUGUGUUCAGCCCAGGUUGGAAAAAGGUCUAGAAUUUUUUUUCCUUUUUAAGUAAUUAUUACAGUAGUCUUUGUUGUCAUUAGGGAAGUAAGAAGUUAUUUGUUCCAUAGGCACUCGCUAAAUGCACUAUUUUACUGAAUUUUGUUACUAGAGCUUAGCAGAAAACCUAGCACAAAGCAUGUGCAUAUUCAAUACUUUGGUAGAUUGCACAAACCCUGACUUACUGAUACACAACUUUGUAUAGUCAACAGACCUAGAGAGCAGAUAGAGCAUGACACUGGUCCUCAGCCCCAUCCCCACCCCUAACACCUUGGUUUCACCAAUUGUCUUUUCUCCCUUGCCUUGAUGAGAGGGAAUAUAUUUCAUGAGUUUACCUUGGUGAUUGGGAGAAGGAAGGUGGGGAUGGUUCAGAUAAAGAAAACUGUUCCCAGUUCUCCAGUAAUCUUAUUAUAUAUCUCUCAUAAGUUGUGCCAGGCUCUUGGAUUAUGUCUAACAAAUAUCUGGCAUGCCUUAUCAAAAUGACAUUUUGGAUUUCAUAAUCAACUCUUCUAAUUGAGAAAUCUAGUAUCUCUCAGUAGAUUAUGAAAUUCAGUGUUGUAUUAUUUUACAACAGACUAUUUGUGUGCUUUUAGAGCAGAUGCUUUAAAUGUAAAAGUCUAUGCUUGCUUCACCUGCUGCCAAGCAUCCAUUUCUUAGGAUAAGUUUAGAAGCAUUGGAAGGGGAUUCCUAGAGGCUGUCUAGUGCAACGUACUCAUUUUACAGAUGAAGAACUGAGGACCAGAGAUGUUAAGAGAUGUUCCUAGAGUUACAUAGUAAGUGUCAGAGUUGAGAUUUGAACCAAGACUUCCUGACUUUAGGUCUAUGCCAUUUCUCUUGUAGUGAUUUUUCCCUUGUAUACAUCUUGGUUUUACAAUGGACCAUAGCCAAAGGUUAAAACCAAGGCUGACAACUGAUGCCUGUCUUAACGUGCUAGACGUAAUCGUAUUCAAGCCACGAUACCAGCAUUUAGCUUUUUGGAUUGCCAUGUUUACACUGGGAAAUUGGAAUGAGGACCUGCUAGUUCUACUGAUAAAGAAUCUACAUUUUGAGAGUAACUUGCUUGUCAUUUUCUCAUUUGGGGAACAUAAAAGCAUAAGAACUUGAAAGGACAGUGACCUCUUCAAGAAUGGAGCAUUACAGCAACUUGAUCAAUUGCAUGCUGCCCCUACAUUAUUCAUUUCUAUUUUAAUUUUUGUUUUUUUUUUCCUGUUUCCAUGAUUUAUUUUCUUCCCCUCUCCCCUCCCAGAACCAACAAACAAUUCCACUGGGUUAUAAAAAUGUCAUCAUUUUUUCCUCUGGAUGUGGAUAGUAUUCUUUCUCAUAGAUCCCCUCUGGUUGUUCAGGGUCACUGCAUUGCCACUAAUGGAGAAGUCCAUUACAUUCGAUUGUACCACAGUGUAUCAGUCUCUGUGUACAAUGUUUUCCUGGUUCUGCUCCUUCCACUCCAUAUCAGUU